ensembl:snRNA
GUGUUGUAUGAAAGGAUAGAAGGUUAGCACUCCCCUUGAUAACAGUGGAGACUGUAUGUAUAUAACCUAAUGCAAUUUCCAGAAAUAAAUCUUCCCGGAAUUUUCUAU